GAUCGCGACGGUAUCGGAACGGCCGAGACGGCAUCGGACACCGGAGUAGUGACGGGAAGGUGAGAGAUCGAAAACGGGGAAAAAAAAAACGUUUUACUCGACGGAACGAUCACACACUACAGAGGAGGAGUGAAGUCUGAGGAGUGAGGACUACGACCGCCACGCGGCGUGUCGGGGGCGGGAGGGACACAAUGGAACAAGGUUGCCAGGCAGCCGAGAACAGCUGAGCCGACGUGUUGGUCGACUUGUCAUGUGCGCCGUGCGGAAAGACGAUAGUGUAUUUGCAG